AGUGAACGCUGGCGGUAGGCCUAACACAUGCAAGUCGAACGAGUGGCGGACGGGUGAGGAAUACAUCGGAAUCUACUCUGUCGUGGGGGAUAACGUAGGGAAACUUACGCUAAUACCGCAUACGAUUGAAUGAGCCGAUGUCGGAUUAGCUAGUUGGCGGGGUAAAGGUCCACCAAGGCGACGAUCCGUAGCUGGUCUGAGAGGAUGAUCAGCCACACUGGAACUGAGACACGGUCCAGACUCCUACGGGAGGCAGCAGUGGGGAAUAUUGGACAAUGGGCGCAAGCCUGAUCCAGCCAUACCGCGUGGGUGAAGAAGGCCUUCGGGUUGUAAAGCCCUUUUGUUGGGAAAGCGGCACCCAAAGAAUAAGCACCGGCUAACUUCGUGCCAGCAGCCGCGGUAAUACGAAGGGUGCAAGCGUUACUCGGAAUUACUGGGCGUAAAGCGUGCGUAGGUGGUCGUUUAAGUCCGUUGUGAAAGCCCUGGGCUCAACCUGGGAACUGCAGUGGAUACUGGGCGACUAGAUGUGGUAGAGGGUAGCGGAAUUCCUGGUGUAGCAGUGAAAUGCGUAGAGAUC
rnacentral:rRNA from 1 species